rnacentral:tRNA from 1 species
GGGAGUUUGGCCGAGUGGUUAAGGCGCUGUGUUUAGGCAUUGGCUAUUAAACAGCUGAUACCAUAAAUCCCGCAGUGGGAAACCGCGCAGGUUCGAAUCCUGCAGCUCUCA